rnacentral:rRNA from 1 species
GGUGGGCUUGGGGUCCUAAACACCAAUAAGUUCGCGCGGGCCUUGAGACUGCGGUGGCCUUGGUAUGAAUGGAAGGAGCCAACAAAAUUGUGGGUUGGGAGAGGUAACCCGUGUGAUGAGGAAGAUCUCAACUUCUUCUAUGCUAGCACCACAAUCAAGGUCGGGAAUGGGGCGAAGACACCCUUCUGGGAAUCCCCUUGGCUUCUUGGGCGCAAGCCCAAGGACAUUGCUCCUCUCAUCUACGAGUCUUCAUCGCGGAAACAUUGGAAGGUACGGGAGGCCCUCAAGGAAAACGCGUGGAUCCUCAAAAUCAGGCCACCUGCGGUUGUUUCCACCGAACACGUAGCACAAUUCUUCACCCUUUGGAUGCUUCUGCAUGAGGUGCAUCUUGAUGAGCUUGCUGAGGACGACAUAGUAUGGAAACACGCGGACUCUGGGCAUUACUCUGUGGCCUCUGCUUACAGGGCACAAUUUUUGGGUUUGGUCCUCUCCCCCAUGGACCAAAUGGUUUGGAAGCCUUGGGCCCUACCGAAGGUCAAGUUCUUUGCUUGGCUCGCACUGCAAGAUAGAAUUUGGACCGCCGAUAGACUGGCUAAGCGGGGUUGG